UACGAAGGGUGCAAGCGUUAAUCGGAAUUACUGGGCGUAAAGCGUGCGUAGGCGGUUUGUUAAGUCUGUUGUGAAAUCCCCGGGCUCAACCUGGGAAUGGCAAUGGAUACUGGCAAGCUAGAGUGUGUCAGAGGAUGGUGGAAUUCCCGGUGUAGCGGUGAAAUGCGUAGAGAUCGGGAGGAACAUCAGUGGCGAAGGCGGCCAUCUGGGACAACACUGACGCUGAGGCACGAAAGCCAGGGGAGCAAACGGG
rnacentral:rRNA from 1 species